rnacentral:rRNA from 1 species
GUCUACGGCCAUGCUACCCUGAACAAGUCUGAUCCCAUCUAAUCUCAGAAGCUAAGCAGGGUCGAGCCUGGUUAGUACUUGGAUGGGAGACCACCUAGGAAGACCAGGUGCUGUAGGUG